rnacentral:lncRNA from 1 species
UGAGGGCACUCUGUGAAUCCCUCAAUUCAAAGAUUCACUUCAAAUUCAAAAUUGAAAACUUUCGUAUUUCGUCAAAAGCUUACAAUCCUCGACUUUGUGGCUACGCAUGUCAUGAAACUGAGGCUGUCUCUGUUGACCUCCGUACUCGGCAUCACAUCAACGUACAUGCUCAUUUCAGUACAAAUGAGGAAUGCUGUUUCCGAUAAUUUAACCAAUAAGGAUUUAAUCCCGUAAUACGCGGAUGUACUGAUUCAGAAAUAAUUUUAAUUCAAUGAUUAUGAAGCGUGCUAGAUUUUGUGCAUAGUCAUACUCUUCGGAAAAUGACAGACACGUGAAAUUCAUUCAUCAAUAUAGCUCGAGAAAGGUUGCGUUUUUCUCCUGCCUGUUUCAUAAUUGCCUGGUAGAAUAAUUUUCAAUGAUUUUUACACAGAAUAAAUGUAGUUUUUUCAAUUUACUUGAUGUACACUCGUUUCUCCUAGCAUUUUGAUCAAUGGGUCAGUUGAUGAUGAGAGGAGUAAAAACUCCUCUUCAAAUUCAAAAGCUACGUACAAGCCUCUAUUUUGUAUGCGCCUUAACUCCCUCCUCCUCAUAAUAAAAAAAUGUUCUCUCAUCAAACGCAAUUCGAAAAUUAAAAAACAAUGAGUGGU